rnacentral:lncRNA from 1 species
UUAUUUGAGUAAAAUGAAAAAAAAAUUCUUUUCUGAAAAUAAAACUUUUUUGGAAACAGAAAUGCUUAUGGAUACGAACGUCAUUGUAGAGACAAACGAGAUAAAACAUGGGCAAGAACAAGGAUACCAGGAACAGCAGUACAAGUUAAACAAACUAAAUUUUAAUGUUCCCUACAGUUAUAUCCAAUUUUUGUUUAACAAAAACGAAGUCAUGUUUAUAAUAGGUGAAAAAGGAAACUCACGAAAAUAUAAAGCAGCAUAUAUUGUUAACAAUAAUAAUGCAGGUGAAAAUGAAAACCUAUUAAUUAUAACAUCUAUAGUAAACACACUCAAAUGGAAAAGUUUAUUUCCAACGUAUAAACAUGUAACAGUAUAUAAUAAUGAAGAACGUUUAUUACAGAAUAAAAUACAAAAUGGACAAUCGAAUUUAAUUAUAUGUAUAGAUUUUUUACCUAAAAUAUUAAAUAUUUGUUGUAACCAAAUAAUACUUGACAUGUGCCAUUUUAAUUUAUUUAAACAAAUUCAUAUAUUUAAUGACCUACGAUUACUAAAUUUUAACAAAAGAAUAUUAAUUUUCAAUAAAAUAUUAAAUGACUGGAACUUACUAGUGUCACUGUUUUAUUUGAGCAGUUCGUUUUUGGAUACUUCUAUGGUGAAGCAGAUUCAAUUAUGUGGCACUUAUGACUGUACUUGCGACAAAGACAACACAAACAUAAAUAAUAACAACAUCAAUAAUAAUAAUAAUAAUAAUAAUAAUAACACUAAAAAUAGCAUCAAAAUCAAACAAAAAUGUGAUAAAAAAAAAUUAAGUGACAUAAUGCAAAACUUCCUUACAAAUUUUUACAUUUUUUAUAAAACAGACGUUUCAUUAACUCACGAGCAUAAUAUGGAAGUUGUCAACUGUGGCGGUACCGCAAUAUGUACUAGCAUAAGUGAAGAAGGUACCAAUACGAGUAUGAUUCGUAAUAGUAAUAAUAUUAACAAUACUGUCGAAGAUAUUAGUGGCAAUAAUACCAUUAGUCAUAUUAAUGGUGACAGAAGUAAUAAAACAUAUUUUAUUAUAACAUACAUGAGUGGAAUACAAAAAUGCAUUUAUGAUAAUGUUCAAGAAGAAUAUAAAAAUUAUACAUGUAUACAUCCAUUAUUACUAUUAGAUGAA